rnacentral:misc_RNA from 1 species
GUCGUAACAAGGUUUCCGUAGGUGAACCUGCGGAAGGAUCAUUACCACACCAAGAUCCAAGAUCUUUCCCUAUGUGACUUUAGUUGGUGAGUCGAUGCUAACAUUGCACACUACGUGUAGUGGUCGACUCGCUGACUGGAAUAGUAAAGCAGCAAUUUGGUGCUUUCUUGAUCUCUUUUGCGUCUUGCAGAAAGAAACUUGUUCGUUUGAGAACAAGGCAAACUAGGUCGAGGGGUGCCCUCCACAAAAACAACUACUGGUAUAGACCCUAUAAUCUAAGACAAAGCGAUGCGUCGAAUUACUGCUAGAACAAAUGUGUCGACUGUAAAAGUUUACACUACUGGCAAAAUUGGAGCAAAGCAAACGAACAAUACAUUACAACUUUCAGCGAUGGAUGUCUAGGUUCCCA